AAGAGUUAAAUAGAGAUUAGCUGCUAACUAAAUCUCAGAGCUAUUAAAUUAAGUUCAACUCUUA
rnacentral:tRNA from 1 species